CAUAAAGCACCCCGCCUGGGGAGUACGUUCGCAAGAUUAAAACUCAAAGGAAUGACGGGGGGCCCGCACAAGCGGUGGAGCAUGUGGUUAAUUNGACGCAACGCGCAGAACCUUACCAACCCUUGACAUGUCUCGUAUGGUUUCCAGAGAUGGAUUCCUUCAGUUCGGCUGGCGAGAACACAGGUGUUGCAUGGCUGUCGUCAGCUCGUGUCGUGAGAUGUUGGGUUAAGUCCCGCAACGAGCGCAACCCUCGCCUUUAGUUGCCAUCAUUUAGUUGGGCACUCUAGAGGGACUGCCGGUGAUAAGCCGGAGGAAGGUGGGGAUGACGUCAAGUCCUCAUGGCCCUUACGGGUUGGGCUACACACGUGCUACAAUGGCGGCGACAAUGGGCAGCGAAGGGGCGACCCGGUGCAAAUCCCAAAAAGCCGUCUCAGUUCGGAUUGUACUCUGCAACUCGAGUGCAUGAAGGUGGAAUCGCUAGUAAUCGCGUAACAGCAUGACGCGGUGAAUACGUUCCCGGGCCUUGUACACACCGCCCGUCACACCAUGGGAGUUGGUUUUACCCGAAGCUGGUGCGCUAACCGCAAGGAGGCAGCCAACCACGGUAAGGUCAGCGACUGGGGUGAAGUCGUAACAAGGUAGCCCUAGGGGAAC
rnacentral:rRNA from 1 species